rnacentral:lncRNA from 1 species
AAGGACAGCAGAAAGCAAGUAUUUAUGGUCGAGUGCAGGUAACAGAAGGACAGCAGAGUGGGGGCUUGAGGUAGCAGAAGGAAAGCAGGGGUGAGAGAAGGUAACAGAAGGAAAGCAAAUAUACCUCCGUCUGGAAUUAGUUGACAACUAAUUCGGAAAGGAAGGAAACUGUGCUUUAUUUUGGUUGUGGGGUCUGUGAGAGAAGGUAACAGAAGGAAAGCCAAUAUACCUCCGUCCGGAAUUAGUUGACAACUAAUUCGGAAAAGAAGGAAACUGUGCUUUAUUUUGGUUGUGAAAACUGUGCUUUAUUUUGGGCUGUGGGUUGACUGUUGGAACUGCCUUUAUCCUCUAAUUAAUUAGAAUUAUUAUGGUGGAGUUGGCUAUAGCCUUAGGCCAUGUCUGGAGUCUGGUAAUAGUAGUACUAGUAGUGUUUUUUCACCCCCAAGGGGCCCCAGUCCCUAGUCUGAGUAUUAUUUGG